rnacentral:tRNA from 1 species
AGCUGGUAGCGUAGGGAUCAGCGCUGGUGCCUCGGGACCCACAGGUCGAGGGUUCGAUUCCCACUUCCAGUUG